UUUAUUUUGCAGGAAACGUGAAAACAAUGAAUUGUGACAGCUUUAUAUUUAAUGCGAAAAGUCAAAUAACAUGAAACGCGAUAUCGCAAAACCUGUUGGAUUAAUAGGGUGACUUAAACAGUCUAAACUGACAACUUUGCAGACCUGCAAUAUUCAGACACCUACAACUACCUGCUCAACUUUCUUUCUUCCUGCUAUGGAGGGUUUACAAGGCUACACAAUCCUGGAGGGCUAGAAAUGGAUGAAAUCUGCAUUUAGACCUGGACCUGGGUUCAUCUUUGGAAUCUACUGGCUAAAAAUGACUUUGUCCUCAGUGGAAGGGCACAGUGGCCAUUUGAUGGUAGACUUUUUGGCAGAGCUGGAAAUGUGGAAAGUCUAGAAAGUGUGGAGGAUGCCAUUUCCUGUGGGAGGUCGAGGUGGCGAGGAGCUCAGUUCCAGCCAGCCAGACUCGACCAAUCUGUAAAACAGCCAUGACAGCGGGUCCCGUCAUUACAGGACAAGCUCCACCCUUGUGAAACGUCCUGACAAUAAAGAAGACAAUGAAGAAAAUUGAUGACACAGCUGCAUUUAAAAAAAAAAAAUAUCUGUCCAAAUUAUAAAAGGAAGCCUAGAGAUUCAUUCUCUGAGCUGUAUACUCACUGCCUUCCAUUUUCUUCAUCUUAGUGGCUUGAGUAUUGAGCUCAUAGCAAUUUAUUUUUGAUUUAAAAGAAGAAGUAAAUCUCCCGAGAUUCUCAACAGACUCAUUUUUGAAGGUCAGUCUAAACAUAAUUCUAAAAUGUGGAGGGAAAAAAACAAAGGAGAUAAGAAAGUAAUUUAGAAAAAAAUACUUCCUUUUAGGCUCCUCGUGGACUUCCAGAGAAUACUAGCGCUCCUCAGUUGUUUCUGUGUAUUGCAGUUAAUGACGGCAAGGGAAUCAUUAAAAUCAUUAAAAUUGUGCUACCGAAAGGUCAUUUGUUGGAUCCCCAUAGUAACAGCCAGUGUUUGUCCAUCACAGGCUAAGUGUCUUGUUGCAGAGCCCUAGAGUACGAUGCUAAAAUGCUACCCAUUGUAAGCCUCUCUACAUAAGAGCACAGACUAAAUGCCAGAAAUGUAAAUGCUUUGUAGGAAGCAGUUGUAUGGGAUUCCUGGGACAUAUAAACUUGAGUGGUGAAACAUCUCUCAAAAGGUCACUGACUUGGUUUGAGCAGCUACAAGUGUUGUAUUCUUGUAAAUUGACUCAGAGGUAAACAUUCUCAUGCAGCCAGCGGUUUUAUGAUUUGAUUAUAGUUACUCUCAUUGCACUCUGAAAAACUCAUUAGGACGCUCUUUCGGCAUCACAACGGUUAAAUUAUCUCGCAGGCUGCAAACUCAGUAAAUUGGCAGAAUGUGCUGUAAGAUAAUCAAACUGAAAUUACAUUUCAAUCUAGCAGCAGCAGAGUGAUUCCAUGCAUGACCGAACCUCCAGACAAGGUCAAACAGAUGAACAUACAGUAUGUGAAUAUAUGUGAAACACAAGCAGCUGAGCAUGCCAUGAGUAGGAUUUA